CGGUACGUACUGGCAUUGUUGGUUUCUCCCUUCUGACGAACCAUGAUGUCAUUUAUUUGGUGUUGUGGGGAAUCAGGACUGUUACUUUGAAAAAAUUAGAGUGUUUAAAGCAGGCUCACGCUUGAAUACAUUAGCAUGGAAUAAUGAAAUAGGACGUUUGAUUCUAUUUUGUUGGUUUCUAGGAUCGACGUAAUGAUUAAUAGGGAUAGUUGGGGGCAUUAGUAUUCAAUUGUCAGAGGUGAAAUUCUUGGAUUUGUUGAAGACUAACUACUGCGAAAGCAUUUGCCAAGGAUGUUUUCAUUAAUCAAGAACGAAAGUUAGGGGGUCGAAGACGAUCAGAUACCGUCGUAGUCUUAACCAUAAACUAUGCCGACUAGGGAUCGGAUGAUGUUAAUUUUUUAAUGACUCAUUCGGCGCCUUACG
rnacentral:rRNA from 1 species